UACGUAGGGUGCAAGCGUUGUCCGGAAUUAUUGGGCGUAAAGGGCUCGUAGGCGGUCCAUCACGUCGGGAGUGAAAAGCUGGGGCUUAACCCCAGUCCUGCUUCCGAUACGGGUGGACUAGAGGUAGGCAGGGGAGAACGGAAUUCCUGGUGUAGCGGUGAAAUGCGCAGAUAUCAGGAGGAACACCGGUGGCGAAGGCGGGUCUCUGGGCAUUAACUGACGCUGAGGAGCGAAAGCAUGGGGAGCGAACAGG
rnacentral:rRNA from 1 species